rnacentral:rRNA from 1 species
CUUACCAACCCGAUGCAAACUGCGAAUACCGGAGAAUGUUAUCACGGGAGACACACGGCGGGUGCUAACGUCCGUCGUGAAGAGGGAAACAACCCAGACCGCCAGCUAAGGUCCCAAAGUCAUGGUUAAGUGGGAAACGAUGUGGGAAGGCCCAGACAGCCAGGAUGUUGGCUUAGAAGCAGCCAUCAUUUAAAGAAAGCGUAAUAGCUCACUGGUCGAGUCGGCCUGCGCGGAAGAUGUAACGGGGCUAAACCAUGCACCGAAGCUGCGGCAGCGAACGUAUCACUUAAAGCGAUUCAGCGGGUUACGAUUGACGGAGCGAAGCGACGUCAAAGCGUAUACAAAGUCGAGUCGGUUUAAGGAUACGUUCGUUGGGUAGGGGAGCGUUCUGUAAGCCUGUGAAGGUGGCCUGUGAGGGUUGCUGGAGGUAUCAGAAGUGCGAAUGCUGACAUAAGUAACGAUAAAGCGGGUGAAAAGCCCGCUCGCCGGAAGACCAAGGGUUCCUGUCCAACGUUAAUCGGGGCAGGGUGAGUCGACCCCUAAGGCGAGGCCGAAAGGCGUAGUCGAUGGGAAACAGGUUAAUAUUCCUGUACUUGGUGUUACUGCGAAGGGGGGACGGAGAAGGCUAUGUUGGCCGGGCGACGGUUGUCCCGGUUUAAGCGUGUAGGUGUGUGUUCCAGGUAAAUCCGGUUCACUUUAACACUGAGGCGUGAUGA